UACGAAGGGGGCUAGCGUUGCUCGGAAUGACUGGGCGUAAAGGGCGCGUAGGCGGCCGCCGCAUGUCGGGCGUGAAAGUCCCGGGCUCAACCCGGGGACGGCGCUCGGGACGGCGGGGCUGGAGUGGGGAAGAGGGUCGUGGAAUUCCCAGUGUAGAGGUGAAAUUCGUAGAUAUUGGGAAGAACACCGGUGGCGAAGGCGGCGACCUGGUCCUCGACUGACGCUGAGGCGCGAGAGCGUGGGGAGCAAACAGG
rnacentral:rRNA from 1 species